GCCUUCUGAAAGAUAGAAAUUCUGCAGCAGUGUGGAAGAAGCACGAGGACAGAUAAGCCGGGCACAGCGAGCCAAGAACCUGAUGAUCUCAAACGCAAAACUUCAGCUCCCAGAAGUAGAGUUUGGAGACGUUACUGAGAGCUGGGAGUAAUGACCCCAGGGGCUCUCAAGCGGAUGGAUUCCAGAAUACACCACUUAAUUAGAAGAAGCUUCUUCAAGUCAUUUUCAGACACUUGAAUCUUGUCUUUACCUGUAAAGAGAUUUUAAAGAUUAACGAAGAGAUGCGCUCGAGAGACCAGAAGCUGGGUUCGCGCUGCAGGCUCGUCAAUGCUGGGACCAGAGACAAUGAACCAGCCAACCAUGGACAAAUUCUAAGGAAUCCUGAGCUAAAAAGAAGUCUUUACCCCUUUAAAUUGAUUUUCUCAGUUAUCUGCAGCAGUCACAAAAGUUGAUUUAAAACAUCAGUGGACCAGGAUAGAGGACACAGGUCUUUAAAUCCCAUUGCCCAGGAGACAGAAGCAGGUGGUUGUGUCUUUGAGGCCAACCGGGUCUACAUAUUAAGUUCCAAGCCAUGUGGUGCUACAUAGGGAGAUCCUGUCUCAAACCAAAAAAAUAAAAAAUCAGUUGCUG